CAGAUUCUCUCCCCCAUUCCACAGAGAGGGGGAAGACUUCAGGGGCAGAUGAGCAAAUGGUUUUGUGGUGCUUAGCUGCCUGCUGGGUUAAGCCAUAACAGCAUGUCACAGACAGAAAAUGUGUUGUUAGUAGAAUAUAUACCACAGUGCUUAAAUCCUUAGAGAAGGGAAAUAAAUGAUUCUAGUCUUCCCUAUUAAAUUUGUCAGUGUAAUUUUUCUUCUCUUUUAUUCUUCACUGUUUGCUUUCCCAAUGCUUUGUCUUGCUACAAUCUGGUGUUACAGCAGGUGUAGUGAUCCGAACUGGGAGAGUAUUGUACAUCAAGGAGUUAGUGAUCCACUAAACAGUUGACCUGAGUACAUGCCUCUGCUGUUCUGCACAUAUCACUUGGCUGCAGGAUAAACUUAGCCAGCUAAUCAUAAUGGAGAAGCCUGUAGGCAGCUUCCACUUGGCAUCUGGUGAUAAUGCCACUGGCAUGUCCUUGUCUUUACCUUGAAGUGGCAGGUUUUCGUGUGAACAUCGUUUUGCUUGAUGGUAGAAAUUAGUAGAAUUGGUCACUUCCAAGAAAAAAAAGAGCUCUUUUAAUGCCAGUGAAUCUCACUAUGAACAGGGUAUACACAGCAUGUGCCCUGACUAGAAGUCUUGCUGAUACUGUACAGCUUGGAUUUUCCAGCACCGAAUUAUCUAUGCUAUCCACUCUUCCUUCCUCGCAUCAUCCCCCAUAAAAGGUGAUUAAUAGCUUCAGAUACUCGUAGAAUUGCCAUGAGACCAGUCUUAGAUCUCCUGUCAUAUUCAGUCGAUUUUCAAUAAGGGCGUGCACUGUUCUGACAGGAUGGAUACAUUCCUUAUUAACAGCAACAACACAAAAAGGAAUCGCUUAUGGUUGCAAGUGUGGUGGGGGGUUUGAACUCCAGAGGUCUAUGAAUUCGAACAGGUGAGAAUGCUGCAUUCAGUCAGACCUAACGUAUUGGUCUGUCCAUUGUGAAUUCUUUUAACUUUUGACUUGACUCAAAACCUGCACAUUAGAAUUCCAGUCUACAGGUUUUCCUUUAGGCUACAUACGUGCAUGAUUUUUUCUUUCCACUAGUUAUGACUAUAUUAGAAUUUGUGUGUAGAAUAACAAAAGGUAAAGGGCUUUUGCCAGUAGUUACUGAUUGGUUCAUCUCUACUUACUAUCUUAUCUAAAUAUAUUCAUUUUUUUUCACAUGCUGUUUUUAAAUUCACUGUGGCAAUAUUGGAAGUCUAACUACUUCAUCGGAGUCUGUAAUGCUUGUACUUCGUUCAGCCACCUAACUAGAUGAAAUAAUUAAUUUAACUGCUUGUUUCCCAAGUAGAAAACUCAUAAUUGGCAUCUAGCAUUGCAAACACAUAAUCCAGGAAUCAUUUUUUCAAUGAGGCUUUUACUCAGAGUGAAUGUUUUUCACGGGUUAAAUAAAGUAAUGGUAUAGAUGGAAAUUUAGUAUCCAUCUCGCCUACUAAUGACAAAUAGCAGUAAAGAUUGACACUUGGAGCUAAUCAAAAACUGAAUGUGAACAGUUGAAUGAAAAUCUUUAAGCAUAACACACUUCUGCAAAGUUCUCCAGGCACUCAUGCACAGUUUUAAAUAAAGGUAUGUGUAUUAAUCCUUUGCAUGAGUAUACUUAAAAGGACUCUCAUUUGACCAAAUCAUCUCUUCCUAAAUCAUUUUUAGUCAUCACUUUCAGAAACAGGGUUAGAUAAAGAACUUCUUUAAAAUGUAGAAUUGAUUGACUGUAGAUAAGCAGUUUUAAAAAAAACAGGCAAUUUAAUUUAUUCUGAAUGUCUAGAGUAAGAUAUUAGUUGUUUAGACAUCCCCUGCAUAACUGCAGAUGGCAUAGCCUAAAACUGAUGGAAUGAGAGUUGUAUGAAAUUAAGCAGUACGUAUUUAAUUGUAACUGUGAAGGAGCAUGUUAAAAUAAAACUGAGAUGAAUCUUCAGGCUGUCUUUGGUGUUAAGCCAUGCUUUUAGUAAUUCAGUCUUACUAGAUUUAGCUUUGCUGCGUGUGGCCUUCAGUCAGAAGGUUCCAGUCUGUAGCCAAUUCUAUACUUCCUGAGCAUCCUUUGUAAAUUGUUUCAGAUAAAGUUCUGCAGGUAGGGCACUAGUUGGUAACACUGUGAGUACAAUGGUGUGCAUAUAAUAGUAAAUGUUUAAUAAACAUAAAAGUUCAGCAAGUAUCCGGUUAAGGGUGAUAGUGCUAGUCUUAAUACACAGCGCAAAAGAACUCUGAAUUCUUGGUAUUUCAGCUGAUUUUUUUCUCUAUUGUCUGUUACGCAUUUGUGUAGCACGUUAGCAUUGGUUUGUGGUUUUAUCAUUGUAACGGUCUGUCUUUGUGUUUUCCUAGAGGCCUUAAGGGACAUUAGUUUGUCAUUUUAAGUAUGUUGUUGAUUUUUACUGUUAUAGGUAGAUUUUUUUCUGACUCUGUGAAUCUCCUUCAAAAUUUGGUUCAAAAUAAUAAGGUCAUGAAUUUGCUCUUGGUAAUCAUAGCAUGAAGUAGAAAUAAAACACAGAGGAAGAUGCUUUGAUUCUGGUAAUUAUAAAUUAAUUAAAGCCCUAAAAAAGCAUAAGGACUCAAUUAGCAGCCCACAGGCCAAAUCCAGUCCUCAGGAGUUCUUCCAAGAAAGAACUGAACAGCUGAUGGAGGCAGCAAACAGCUGAUGGCUCUUCCCUUUGCAAAAAGCCAGGCACUGCAACUUCUCCUGUUGCUGUAGUCUUUCGGAAUAAUGGCCCCCAACCAAGGCUUCCCCCUCCUGUGCUGAGACUUUGCACGGGGCAGCUCCCAUAUCAGCACAGCCCGGGGAGUGGUCUGGAAUUGAGGAUCAAGAAAGAUAAAACAUGGCUAGCAGUUACUUGGACUCUGUUUUCAAUGUUGUAUAUACAUCUUAUGUCAAGAUGAUGAUGAAAAAGAGAAAUUGAAACAAUUUGCUUAGCUUGAGUUGUCACCUUAAUUUUAUAGUUGGUUAAUUUGACAUAAAAUAAGAAUGUGAGCACUUAGCAAUUUCAAGUUAUGGUUCUGAGUUCUCAGGUUCAGAUAACACAAAGCUUUAAAUAUUGCAGAUCACCUAAUUUGAUUUGUAGCUAGACAUUAAUUCUAUAUACUCGUGCUUUUAACAGUGGCAUUGUAACAAGUGGGUUGUUCAGAUUAAGGCUCAGUCAAAUGCGGGCGUACGGCAGAGAAAUAGAGGCCUAUUUUUUGUUUUUCAAAGAAGCUCAAGAAACGUGAUUAUAAGGUUUUGAGGAAAAUAUUUAAACAUGCCAUUUGAUUUUAGACAAAUCUGACAGUGAACAAAAUCCUAUGUUAUUCCCAUUGUAGGUUUUGAAAUACUAACUUGACGGUGUGCAAAGAAACUAUUACUAUGUUGUCAGAAAUAUUUUUUCCUCAAGGUGAAUGUUUUGCCUUUCUCUCCUUCUCAAAAGGAUGGUAUAAAAAUAUGAGCAUUGUGGGAUACGAUUCUUAUUAGAAGCAAAUUACCUGAAAUAUUCCAUAGAAACAAAAACUUUCCUAAGGAAAAAAGCUGAAGCUACUGUGACUGUAUCCUGGAGGCCUUGGAUGCUGUUAAGAUUUGGAAAAACACCUUUUUGUCACCUUCUUUAUGUUCAAGGUCAUAGUGAAGAAGUGUUUUUGGUAAUUGCCCUGGGCUCUGACAUGCUCAGCUAGUUUUGCAGCUAGCUAGCAGCAGUUGGCUGCUCCAUCUCCUGGCUCUGCCCCCGGAAAGAGAAAACUUCAUCUGUUCCCACUGCCAAGGCAGUGAUGGAUCCCUGUGGGCUCCCAGGAUAGUAACUGAGACUUGCCAAGGAAUCAGACUCCCAGCUGGUGAAGUCCUGAAGGUUUCCACCAUUCCAGUGAGAGUGGCAACCUUACAAUAUCUGGGGCUACGUAUGAUGCUACUAGCCAUCAGGGUGCAUGCAUGAACCUGCAGAUAGGAACCCUGUGUCACUCAUCUGUGCCUCCCACCAACAAACUGAUGCAUAUUAGAUGAGCUCUUCAGAAGAGAGGCUUUUUGCUAUGCCACACCUGCUACUCCGAUCUGCUUUCUUGUUUCAGUAUUAUAGCCUUUCUCUCUGUUUAUUUGUUGUGUGACAGCAAAUGUCUAACUUGGUUUAUCCCAUUCAAUUUUUACUACUCUGGUAGUUUUUUGGCUUGGUUUUUGCUUUGAAACAAUUGCAAAGGUACUAAUGGAGAUGAGAUUUAAUCUUAAAUGUGUAAAACAUCAUGUGAUGUGUAAGAAAAUUUAUUAAUAGAACUUGAGGUGGGAACAGAUUGUCAUAAAAUAAUGAAAAAAGCACUGACACAUUUCAAGUAGUAUAUAAGCUGACAGACCAUGGGGAGGGAUUAAGGAAAAUGGUAGUUAGGUGCACUUGAACUUGUAUCAGAAUAAAGUAAGAAUAAUGAAAUUAUUCCUGCUGAUUUUGAGCUAUUUAUUUAGUGUAUUCAUAGGUUUAAAUCAGGCAUGACAUAAUGGUUGUAAUUCUGCCUGUGAAAUUAACAUAAAUGCUUAUGGAUUUGAAAGUAACUAUUGGCUGCUGGCUUUGGGGUUUUGUUUUAAUAUUUUUAUUUAUUUACUUCAUUUGUAUUGGACACUAGAAAAAUAUUGUA